rnacentral:rRNA from 1 species
UGGGUAAUAUUGCACAAUGGGCGCAAGCCUGAUGCAGCCAUGCCGCGUGUAUGAAGAAGGCCUUCGGGUUGUAAAGUACUUUCAGUCGGGAGGAAGGUGGUAAGGUUAAUAACCUUAUCAAUUGACGUUACCGACAGAAGAAGCACCGGCUAACUCCGUGCCAGCAGCCGCGGUAAUACGGAGGGUGCAAGCGUUAAUCGGAAUUACUGGGCGUAAAGCGCACGCAGGCGGUUGAUUGAGUCAGAUGUGAAAUCCCCGGGCUUAACCCGGGAAUUGCAUCUGAUACUGGUCAGCUAGAGUCUUGUAGAGGGGGGUAGAAUUCCAUGUGUAGCGGUGAAAUGCGUAGAGAUGUGGAGGAAUACCGGUGGCGAAGGCGGCCCCCUGGACAAAGACUGACGCUCAGGUGCGAAAGCGUGGGGAGCAAACAGG